rnacentral:lncRNA from 1 species
AAGAAUAAACCAGCUAAGCUCUUGCUUGAACAUGUGCAAUGUUGUCUCAUUUAUCUCAUUUGGAGUUCAAUUUUGGGGGCUGGCUUCAUAACUAUUAGCAUUACAAAUAUGCUAUAUUCUUUCCCGGUUUACUUUGAUGAAGAGUGGACUUUGCCAUCUAUAUGCAUUUGAGGACCAGUGUUCUAUCCAUUUUGCCAAUUUUCAGCUGAGUUAUCAUAUUUUAAGCUGCACUUUCCACAGGGAAUCAAUUAUUUCUUUUGUCUCUGGUGAUUUGUUUCUGCUCAUGUUUUAUUCUUUAACCUUUGGUAGUUUUUUUUAUUAUUUGGAUUGCGGUUUGUUUUUUUCUUAGCUCUAAGGCU